rnacentral:lncRNA from 1 species
UUGCUGCAAUGAAAUUUCAGCAAAAUGGACUAGCCUGCUGCAUCCUUUUUUCACUUUGAUUUUCGGGGUGUCUUUUUAAUCUCACCCUUCUGUAGGUUGAUAAUUUUCAUUUCCAUCAAACGAUGUGGCUUUUCUUCCUAACAUAUUCAAUAGCCCAGUCCAUAUCAGUAUAGAUAUCCAGCAUGAUAUCUUUCCCCGUUGAGAUCUGAUGUGUUUUUGAAGUGUUCCUUUAAUUUGUUUGAGCAGUCUAUAUGUGACUCCCUAAAAAUGCAAUUUUUGAUACUAUUUUCUUAACAUGGUAAAGAAAAUUAUAAAAAUGGAUAGCUGCGAUACAUCCUAGCUAGAUGAGGCAUCACAUGUCUGAAGCUACUGAUGAAUCAAGUGUGCUGAUGAUUUCUUUGGUUUUUCCAUCAUUGAAGCUGAACCGUCCAGCAUACAAGCUAUUGUAAUCUGCCAUGUUUUCUUAUGGGAACAGCUCUUCUUUUUGCUGAUUGAUUUCUCCUGAUUGAUUUCUCAUUUUGCAUCUUUCCAGCUGUGCUGAAGUUCUGAGAAGUCAAGGCAGGCUUUUAUUUUGUAAAGGGUGUUUGGUGUUUGGUGGUCGCCGCGCUUCAGUGCCGCGGGUCAGACGCACAGUCGCGAAUCACCCAAAGCGCGUGAAGACGCUGCUAUAUCUGCGGACAUCUGCGUCCUCAGAGCCCGCUUGACUCUGGAGUAUCCAAGCGGGAUUGUUAGUCUGUGUAAGAGACACACACACAUACAGAGAGAGAGGGGGAGAGCAGUAAAGGAUUAGGAGGAGGCCACUCCUUUGAUAAACUGUGCAAACGCAAAAAAGCUCGCUCCAUACAGCUGCUGCUGGCUUAUAUUUACAUUCAGCAGAUGUGUUUGGAUUGCUAAAUCACUAGAGCUGUGUGCUUGGAUCCUCUGGACAGUCCGCGUUCAUGAUUAUUCCCGAGUCGGAUCUUCAAAGAGGAAACAAUGUAACCUGGUAACACACGAACGCAGACUUCCGUGGUUAUGUGGAUCUCAGUGCCAUGGCAGUAAUGCAGUGGGCCCUUCAGACAGCCAGACCUCAUAAACACCUGUCAAGAACGAACGCUGGGAUCCGGCUUUUGUUCUAAAAGCAGAACCGAACAGAAGGAAAUCUAAUCUUGUCAGUGAAAUGAUUUCUUAACAUAUUUUAAAAUAUCUGUUUGGUUUACAUUGAUCUAUACAUGUAGAAGUCAAAUUAAAUAAAUAAAAUGUUAAAUGGUAAAAUGUUUAUAUGAUUUAAAAGUGUUAAUGCAUUAAAACAUUAAUACUAUUGAGGGAAUUAAAUACAAUUAAGAACAUGAUUGGAAAGAUUUGAUGUGGUUGAAUCUAAUUUUAGCUAUAUAAGGCCAUCGUUUUGUGGGCUUAUUUUAUUAAAGGUGCCAUAGAAUACAUUGAUACAAUAUUUUAAAUUGUUCUCUGACAUCCCCAGAGUGUGUAUGUAAAGUUUUAUCUCAAAAUACCUCACAGAUAAUUUUUUAUAGCUUGUUGAAAUUGCCACUUUUAGGGUAUGAGCCAAAACGAGCUGUUUUUAGUGUUUGUCCCCUUUAAAUGAAAAUGAGCUGGUGCUCCCACCUCCCUUUUCAGGCAAAUACCGCCGGUGUUAUGGUUUAACUGGUGGUGACCGUGUUACUGAUCCUCACAUUGCUUCCAAACGCAAUUUUUAACUACCACAUUCCUUUUUAUGAUCAUCUUGUAGCACGUGAAGGCAGCAUUAGUGAAAACAGGCAGAGACAAUGGUAGCUUUAGCAUCAUUAGCCUUACAGAGAGCCAAGAAACUCUUUUGGAAAACAAAAUAUGAUGCGUGAUGCUUACUUUGUCUGGAGUCUGGACGUUUGCGCACAAAGCAUUGGUAUCGAUCCCUCUUUCAGAAGCAAUCUUUGCAUAACUCCAGCUUAACUGACCCUCGUUUGUGAGGCAGUCCGGUGUAAAA